CGAAGCAUGUGCUGUGAGAUAAAUCGGGAGACGCGCAUGCUUGCAUGCAGUGGCUCACGAUUUAUCUCACAACACAUGUGUCGAAGACACAUGUAUUUGACGAGCGUGCGACAUGAAAUAGAUUGCGAAGCAAUCUAUGAAUGCCG
rnacentral:misc_RNA from 1 species